rnacentral:rRNA from 1 species
GACGAACGCUGGCGGCGUGCUUAACACAUGCAAGUCGAACGAAGUGGCGAACGGGUGAGUAACGCGUAAUCAACCUGCCCUUCAGAGGGGGACACCAGUUGGAAACGACUGCUAAUACCGCAUACUGAAGGAGGGGAUUGCGUCUGAUUAGCUAGUUGGAGGGGUAACGGCCCACCAAGGCGAUGAUCAGUAGCCGGGCGGAGAGACUGAACGGCAACAUGGGGACUGAGACACGGCCCAGACUCCUACGGGGGGCAGCAGUGGGGAAGCUUCCGCAAUGGACGAAGGUCUGACGGAGCCACGCCGCGUGAGGGAUGACGGCCUUCGGGUUGGAAAGCUCUGUUAAUCGGGACGCGGUACCGGAAUAGAAAGCCACGGCUAACUACGUGCCAGCAGCCGCGGUAAUAC